ACUACAGUAACUCAGUUCAUAGAGCUUUGGACUUGUAAUCCAAGAGGCAUGGGUUUGAUACCCACCCAGGCCAGCA